GACGUAGGGCGCGAGCGUUGUCCGGAUUUAUUGGGCGUAAAGAGCUCGUAGGCGGCUUGUUGCGUCGACCGUGAAAACCCGGGGCUCAACUUCGGGCUUGCGGUUGAUACGGGCGGGCUGGAGUUCGGUAGGGGAGACUGGAAUUCCUGGUGUAGCGGUGAAAUGCGCAGAUAUCAGGAGGAACACCGGUGGCGAAGGUGGGUCUCUGGGCCGAUACUGACGCUGAGGAGCGAAAGCGUGGGGAGCGAACAGG
rnacentral:rRNA from 1 species